GAUGAAGAACGUAGCGAAAUGCGAUAAGUAAUGUGAAUUGCAGAAUUCAGUGAAUCAUCGAGUCUUUGAACGCACAUUGCGCCCCCUGGUAUUCCGGGGGGCAUGCCUGUCCGAGCGUCAUUGCUGCCCUCAAGCACGGCUUGUGUGUUGGGCCCCCGCCCCCCGGCUUCGGGGGGCGUGCCCGAAAGGCAGCGGCGGCACCGCGUCCGGUCCUCGAGCGUAUGGGGCUUCGUCACCCGCUCUGUAGGCCCGGCCGGCGCCCGCCGGCGACCCCAAUCAAUCUUUCCAGGUUGACCUCGGAUCAGGUAGGGAUACCCGCUGAACUUAAGCAUAUCAAUAAGCGGAGGA
rnacentral:misc_RNA from 1 species